rnacentral:rRNA from 1 species
UACGGAAGGCAGCAGUGGGGAAUAUUGCACAAUGGGCGCAAGCCUGAUGCAGCCAUGCCGCGUGUAUGAAGAAGGCCUUCGGGUUGUAAAGUACUUUCAGUCGUGAGGAAGGUGUUAAGGUUAAUAACCUUAGCAAUUGACGUUAGCGACAGAAGAAGCACCGGCUAACUCCGUGCCAGCAGCCGCGGUAAUACGGAGGGUGCGAGCGUUAAAUCGGAAUUACUGGGCGUAAAGGGCACGCAGGCGGUUAAUUAAGUUGGAUGUGAAAUCCCCGGGCUUAACCUGGGAAUGGCAUUCAAGACUGGUCAGCUAGAGUCUUGUAGAGGGGGUAGAAUUCCAUGUGUAGCGGUGAAAUGCGUAGAGAUGUGGAGGAAUACCGGUGGCGAAGGCGGCCCCUGGGACAAAGACUGACGCUCAUGUGCGAAAGCGUGGGGAGCAAACAGGAUUAGAUACC